CGUGUAGGUGGCUAAUUAAGUCAGGUGUGAAAUCCUUCCGCUUAACGGGAGAAGUGCACUUGAAACUGCUUAGCUAGAGUACGGGAGAGGAAGGUGGAAUUCCUGGUGUAGAGGUGAAAUUCAUAGAUAUCGGGAAGAACACCGGUGGCGAAGGCGGCCUUCUGGCCCGAUACUGACGCUGAGACGCGAAAGCGUGGGGAGCAAACAGGAUUAGAUACCCUGGUAGUCCUAGCCUUAAACGAUGAAUGCUUGGUGUGAUCGGUAUCCAAUCCGAUUGUGCCGCAGCUAACGCGAUAAGCAUUCCGCCUGGGGAGUACGGUCGCAAGGCUGAA
rnacentral:rRNA from 1 species